rnacentral:ncRNA from 1 species
CGCACUGGAAGGCGCGUUGGUUCCUGUCUUAGGACAGGCGAAGAGGGAAUGCGAUAGGCCUUUGGCCCCAAACGGGACCGGGUUGAAACGCAGCCGCCCCCGCGACCGUGACCGGAAAGGUCGCCUGAUCACUGGCUCUGUUGCGCCGGGAAGAUGGGCAGACCGCCGGGGCAACCGCCCUGAUAUCCGCAAGCCGGGAGACCUGCCAACACACGGAUUUGAAC